UGCUGGAGUUUCAUAUGGUGGGAUCCGCAGCUUGACGGGAAAAUUUGGAAGAUCCGAUCUCUCUGUCAAGCUUGCGGAUGUCACCGUAAGGACUCCGAGUA